UACGUAGGGUGCGAGCGUUAAUCGGAAUUACUGGGCGUAAAGCGUGCGCAGGCGGUUCGUUGUGUCGGUUGUGAAAUCCCCGGGCUUAACCUGGGAAUGGCCAUGGAAACUGGCGAACUGGAGUGCGGCAGAGGGGGGUGGAAUUCCGCGUGUAGCAGUGAAAUGCGUAGAGAUGCGGAGGAACACCGAUGGCGAAGGCAGCCCCCUGGGCUAGCACUGACGCUCAGGCACGAAAGCGUGGGGAGCAAACAGG
rnacentral:rRNA from 1 species